rnacentral:antisense_RNA from 1 species
CUUCACCGACCCGAGCCACAGCGGUUCCCGCCGGUCCUGGCCGUAGGUGUUGAGCAGCGCCUGCGCCUC